CCAAAACAGUUCUACCGUUUUUCACUCACAGCAGCAAUGCAAGAUAGUAUGGUUGCUCCACAUCCUCACCAAAAUUGGUGUGCUCCAGCUCUGCAGCAAAUCUCGGAGACUCCCAGAUUCAAAAUGUCACUGCAAGGCAGAACGACGGGUCCAGCUCAUGCUUGUUAAACCAACAGGAACACGACAACCUCCAGAAAGAACAAUUCUGCAUUGGUAUCCAUCAUGAAUGACUGAAGAAAGAGAUCAUGUGGCACUUUGAAGUUCGUCAUGCUGGAUGGUCGACAUCCCUAAACCCCCUUCUUCCCUGCCCAUUUCCCCUAUAUGACUGCCUCAAGAUCCUGUAUGAUUUUAUGACGGUUCUUUAGGACACGAGUCCGCCAUCUUCCAAUUAUGCCAGCUAAUCGUAUAAACUUUCCUUUCUCAACCA